UGAGGCCUCGGGUAGAGGCUGUCCAUUCCAUGCACUAUGGUAGAGGCUGUCACAUGUCAUUAGAAAUGCGACAGUGUGCUAUGCUAACUUUUUUUUUUUUGUCUCUCUAGGAUAUCCGCCGACCAUUUUUGGUUUGGGCAUAUGUGAAUCCGAUCUACAGUGGAGCGGAGCGGCCAUCUUCAACUUGGGAAAGCCGUCCCAGGUUUUAUCUCCCACUGUAGCUAAAGCGAUACUGAGGCAGCCAUGUUGGGCAAGGGCAAAUUUGCCCUCAGUCUGUGAAGAGAGGAAUAAAUAAGAGCCGUGACGAGUCAGUUUGACUUGAGCCGCCUUCGACGUCAGGGACUGCCUCGCCCUCCGUUUGCACUUGCAGCUGCAAUGCUGCACAGGCGCUUCCGUCACAACUUGGUUUCUGAUCAAGGAGCGUGCUGUCGCUAGGAAAAUCCUACAUGAUAAUUACUAGCAAUAGAUGUCGAAGCCUUUCGGCGAUUUAUCAUGGAAUGAAAAUAGCACACAUGAUAGACCCCUGUGAAGCCAUAUGAAUUUCAUGCAGAUGUUUAACACUCAAGAAUCAGAAUUCAGAAAUGGCAUUAUGCUCAAGAGAAGCAGAUCUUUCCCAGAUUAAAAUUUUAACAAAAGUUUCAACUUUUGCAAUAUAAGAAUGCUGGUU